AAUUCUAGGAUGUGUGUCGUAUCUGAUUUUUACAUUCUAGUGUAGCAAUUAUUUUGAUAUGUACCUGCAUCCCUAUUCUCCUUUAUAUAUACUAGAGGAUUUAUAUCAACUAUGGCAAUGAUAAUGUCCUCUAUGCAGUAACUCAGUUAGCACAAACUGUGAUGCGUAGUGCUAUUGGAAAAAUGCCACUUGACAGGACCUUUAUGGAGAGAGACACUAUAAAUGCAAACAUUGUGUAGGGUUUCUUCAGCAUCAACAAGUAGGGUGCUUUACUCUUUUUAGCUAAGUUCUUGUUCGUGGCGCGUUCGAUUUGCUUUAAACUUAAAAGGACUUCAAUAUGAGUACAAAGCAGUUGAUCUUAUCAAAGGGGAGCAAUUUAAUCCAGGUCCUGUAGCAGGUCUUACUCUGGUACAGAUUCUGCUGCAGUCUCUGUUCUGGGUGUUGGAUUUGGUUUGCUGGGUUCUGGCUUUGUUGAGUUCAGGUCUGCUAGGGUCUGGUUUACAGACGCUCGGGUUUCUGGUUUCUAGUUGUUGUGCUGUUCCUGGCUACUGGGAUCUGGUUGCAGGCUCUGGUGUAGUUCAUGUGCUGCAUUUGGUUGCUGCAGGUGUUGGGUGGCUGGCUAUGCUUGGUAUGCUCAUCUGUUUGGAAACCUGCUACUGGAAGCCUGCUGGCUGUGUCUGUUUGGGCUGUUUCUGUUUUUUGUUUCUGUUAGGGUGGGCUGCUGUCUUCUAUUGCAGUGCAUCAUGGUUGGCUAUUUUUGAAGAAAAUAUAUAUGUUAGUGUUUAUAUGUCCAUUUUUUUUUAGUUUUUUAAAGUGUAAUAUUACAAGUUA